GUGAUAAUAUGCAAAAACCAAAAUAAACAAGUACCUUGCACACAGGUGUACACAGACAAAACUUAAUAGGUUACUCAGGAGUCAGACUGUAUUCUGGAAUACUCAGAUGUGUUCUAGAUCACUGGGAGCCGUCUCAGGCUGGUGUCACCCACAAGUAACAGUGCAGAAUAAAACUGCUAGGCAGGUCCUGGAAGGGAGAUGCUGUGAUAUAAGGGUGACAUUUCAUUUUCUGCAGUAUAGGUUCUUCAUCAAAUGGUUCAAGGGGGCUAAAAUGCAUCUCAUACUUUCUGAGUCAGCAACUAGUUAUAGGACAAGCUAAG